UUUUUUUAUUUACUAUGCCUUCACAGGGGUUCUCCACAAUGGGGUUGUUGCAAGGGAACUGAGAACUCAUCCUUGCUCAGGCAAAUUCUCAUGCUCCCCCUCCCUUAGCACAAAUAAUAGAACAUGGACCGUGUUAACCAAACUUCAAAGAUAUAGACAGAGGGAUGAUAGAUACAGAAAUCCAGAAACAAAAAUAGUCAUGAAUAUAGGGAGAGAGAGAGAGAGAGAGAUUAUGUAAUUUACAGUCUAGUGGGGAGAAGAGAUCAGAGAAAGAAAGUAAUCAUGGUAGCAAGUGCUAGAAGGAAUUGGGGUCCUGAGGCAGAGAAUGACGGUUGGGUAGAGAAGGAUUCACUUUACACAGGGAAGUAAAAAACUCUCCCAAGAGUUGCCUUUGGAGAUGGGUCAGGAAUGUAGAGUUCUGGGGCAGACAGCUGGGUGGCUGGAGGUACUGAAGGCAGGUUGUCACACAGGGUAGCAGCAAAGACAAGUGGCAAGAGAGAGUAGUAGAGAUUCAACCCCCCAAACAGUUGGCUAAAAUCACCUCCAAAUUUCUCAUCAUUCUCUCUACACAAUAAAAUUGGUAAAAUUGAAUUUGUUAUGUAGAUAACUAACCUUUACACUAAAGGUUUGUAAUUGACUUGAAAAUCAAUUCUAUGAUGUCAUUUCCUAAACUGCUUCCAAACACCUUUAUCAUAAAAGGUCCUCAUGAAGUAAAAGACUUUAAUCAAUUCAAGACUCAAGCUAUUUAUCAUGGCAAAACUCCAAUUAAUUGUGAGUCAAAGGGAAGACAGUUUUGCAUGAAAAAUUAAAGGAAACAUUUAUAGCAUUGAUAGUCACUUUACUGUACUUUUAUAUUUAUAAAAACAUCCGUUACAAAGUGGAAUUUUGGAAAGUUCUGUGAUUGUAUCAUGCAGAGUAAAAUUUGCAUACAGUACAGAUUAAAUAGGGUUUUUUAUUAUCCUACUAUUGAUUGAUUUGAUAUGAGGUAACUGUUCAGGCUUAAUUACUUACUCUGAAAAAGCCCAUGAGGGAGGAAGUGAUCCUGUGUCUACUCAACACAAGCAACUGAAAACUACAAAUAGGAAUUUCAAUUUGCUUUGAAAUGAGAUUAACUAACACUAUCAGGCCUAUAGCUUGUUUCUGAAGUCUAAAAAUAUUAAGUUCAAAACUUCACAAGAAUGUAAUGAACGCACUGAAGUUUUCCAGUAUGAUGAGUGACUUUGUCCACUCUCUUAGAGAAGUAAGUUUCACAUAACAACGCAUUUGGAAAUUUUUCACUAAAAGAAGAAAGAACUUGAGGAAGGGGAGAAACGGGAAAAGAGUACCACAAAAUGUUCUUAGCAGAUUAAAGGAUUUUUGCCUGGCAGAAAAGAUUUGACGCUUUCAAUCUCAGUCUUCUGUGGUAUUUUCCUUACAUCCUUUUUUCUACUUUAAGGGAAGAUGGCUGCUGGGUCCCAAGCCUGAAGCUUGUGAAGAGCUGAUUAGCCCAGCCAUAGAUGCUCACCAACAAGCUUUCAGGGUAUGAUGUCUGUGAAAACACCUGGACAUGCCCAUCCGUGUGCUUCCCACUGGUGGAGACCUGCUCUCUAAGACAUGCCAGCACAGAAUCUGAUCAGAACACCUAAUGCAUGGUUUUUAACAGACCUGCCAGCACAAAGACAGGUGGGGCCCAUGGCUUCUCUUAUUUACUACUGACAGCCACUCUUCUGGGUCCUUGCCUUUUAAAAUGAGUACUGUAGUAAUCUCUAUAAAUGAAAUAUUUACUGUACAAUACUGUCAUUGAACAAAAGUCACUAGGGUUUCACAGGUGAGUGUAAUUAGAAUGUUUGGUCCUUUCCAUUUUUUUUUUCUCUACAAUCUGAUUGGAAGUGUCACAGCUGCUAGACAAGAGGACCUAUAGGAGUAUUAUGUAACCAGAGAAUGGUUGCAAACUCAAAAUCAUUAUCAUUUCCUAUUGGUUAACUGUUCUCAGAGAAUUUGCUUUAGGAUAACACAGUCCCUGCCUUCACGGAGCAUCCUUGACUCAGGUUUCCAACAGCAGCCCAAACCUUCAUUUGACAAACAAAUGGCACAAGGAGACAAACUCAGAGACCUCGAUACUGGAACUAUUUCAUUCUGGACUGUUACUCAUGGAAGGCAGAAUUUUUCUUUCAGUCUAACGAUGACACUGCAUAUACUAUGAAAUAAUUUGUCGUCUUAUUUAUUUGUGAGAGAGAAAGGCAGAAAACUAGUCGAGGGGAUGGGCAGAGGGAGAAGAACAAGCAGACUCCCUGCUGAGCUGGACCCUUUGUAGUGCUUGAUCCCAGGACCAUGAGAUCAUGACCUGAGCGAAAGCCAAGAGUCAGCCCUUAACCGACUGAGCCACCCAGGCACCCCUGAAAUAAUUUGUUUUCAAAAGCAUUUUCCCAUCUGAAAUAAAACAAGUAGACACACUGGAGAAUACUGUAGGAUUCGUGCUACCGGCUGAGCUAUCCCAUUUUAGUGCUGUCUUAAUUCAAAGAGGGUCCCAUCUGUGGUUAAGAAGAGCACAAAGUCCUCCCACAUUAAAGGACACAGACUCAUCUUUCAAAUAAGUAAAGGUCCAGAUUUACUAGGAUAUUUUUCAGAAAAUGAAGGUUUUCGAAAAGCAACCCCACACAGAAGUGGCAGUUGUCAACAUGGCUCUUGGGGACUUCGCCGUUUGACUGGCUUAGCAUUGCCCAUGGCCUUCCCCGGAUUCCACCGACCGCCUCACUUCCACCUCUAAGAAGGAAGGAGGGAGGGGGAAGAACUAUUCCAAGUCACUUUGGCUCCCACACCACCACCAAAAUCCUAAGGGCGUCUCGGUCCAGGCUACGUCCAGGCAGCAGAGCAGAAGCGGACACCCAGGAGUGGUUCGGCUUUAGGGCCAGCUCCUCAGCCCCACACCCCGCCAAGCCCUGCUGGGGGGUCACCGCCUGCGGACUCUCGACGCUCCUCCAGCUGCCCCGGCCCUCCCAGGCGGUUUCCAGGCUCGCUUGGUGCGACGCUCCAUCCGCGUGUCCCCCCUGCUCCUAGGCCCUGCGUCACAGGGCGGCCCGUCACGGGGGCUGCGAACCCGGGGAGGCCCCUCGCGCGGGGCGGGGCGGCGAGCCAGGC
rnacentral:lncRNA from 1 species